UUUACUACAAAAUCGUCAAAGCAAUAAAUGUCAUUUAUAAUCUCUAUAUAUGAUAUAUUUUAUUAUUGUUCGGCAUUUUUUUCAAACAAAUAAGCAAAACAAGUAGUAUCUGUUAUGAUUGUUCAUUUUAAAAAAUGGAAAACAUAAUGUCCUUGACAUCGAGUUGUAUUGAUAAAAUUUCAAAUAUCGACUUUAAAUAUAAAGAGAAAGCAUAUGGACAUAAGACGUAAAUAGUCAUCCAUAUGAAUUUUUUUACGAAAGUGUGUGUAAAGGUCCUAAGGAUUAAAGAAGUCAUAAUGUAUUAUAAGAUAUAAUUCGUGUCUUUCAACGCAAAUGACGUAAAUAUAGAGUAACUUUGUUGUUACUUGUACGAAAGAUCUGUGCUAACGGUUUUUAAGAUGGAGAAUCUACUGAUUCUAUCUGUAGAAUAUAAAGAACAAUUAGAAAUAGGCGACGAGCUUGAACGUUCGCGAAAAAAAGCUAUGGAAGAAAUAAUCUGUAAAAACAUUAUCAACAUCAUGAGAGUCUGGUAAAUUGUUAUGAAAAAUGAUUUUGUACUGUUUGAUGAAAGUGAUUCAGAAGGAAUUUACAAAGAGAUUAGCAACCUCUUUCGGUGGAAGCAUCGCCAAGAUGUUCGAGAACCUGCAAAAUCGGCAAAGCAUAAGAAAUGUUAAGUACCCUGAAAACAAUUUCAUUCAUUAAUGUCUACUUUAAAUAAUAAAAUCUAUUCCAUAAAUUGAUAUAACCUACCGCCCUGAGUCCAACAAUCCAAUCUGCAUGUGAAGAUAAUAAGAUAUAAAUUUUAUAAUAUGAUAUAAAUAUUAUAUGAUAUUAUUUUUUAUAUGUCAAUCUUUUUCGAGUUAUUAUUUAUUACAAUUUCUUACUUUAUUUUAGGUUUCUUACAGAGACCAGUGUCCACCAUGUACGGAUAAAUAGUUGUAAAGUUUAUGUUCAAGUUCUUUCCUUUAGAGUAUUCUCGAAGCUCUUCGCUGAGAGCUUCCAUAAAACCUGCACAAUAUGAAAUAAAAUUUAAUGUAUCUAUUAUCACAAUAAAUCCUCAUUUUUGUAGAUA